CAGGUCUUGACAUCCCGCUAACGAGGUAGAGAUACGUUAGGUGCCCUUCGGGGAAAGCGGAGACAGGUGGUGCAUGGUUGUCGUCAGCUCGUGUCGUGAGAUGUUGGGUUAAGUCCCGCAACGAGCGCAACCCUUACUGUUAGUUGCUACGCAAGAGCACUCUAGCAGGACCGCCGUUGACAAAACGGAGGAAGGUGGGGAUGAUGUCAAAUCAUCAUGCCCCUUAUGACCUGGGCCUCACACGUACUACAAUGGCCAUUAACAGAGGGAGGCAAAGCCGCGAGGCAGGGCAAAACCCUAAAAAUGGUCCCAGUUCGGAUCGCAGGCUGCAACCCGCCUGCGUGAAGUUGGAAUUGCUAGUAAUCGCGGAUCAGCAUGCCGCGGUGAAUACGUUCCC
rnacentral:rRNA from 1 species